CAGCAGCAGCACCCGCAGCAGCACACUCUUAAUGAUCCCCUCAGAGGCAUCUGCAGGAUGCAUUUGCAUUAGCAAUGAGAGACAUCGAUUUUCAUCUGUAAAAUGGAGAUGGUUGCUCAUUGGCCCAGAGCUGAGGACUCAUCUGGAAAAUUCCUGGAGUAGCUGUUCUAGAAGAAGGUUUAAAUAUCUGAAGUGCACUGGGAAAAGACUGUCCUAGACUUUCUUGAUUCGUAAGGGAGAGACGCUGAAGUGCUGGGUUCCGAGUCAGCUGGGAAUACCUGCUUGGUGUUCAGAAGGCCUCUCAUUCGUGGUUGGCUUCAUGUCACACAGACGCUCUCCCCCUCUGCGUUCCUGCGUCCUAUGAAAUAUGGAUGCUGCAUUAAAAAGCAGGAGUCCCGGUGUAAUCAUUCCAUCCUACUACACACAUAAAGAUGACGCUCAAGAGCUCACGGGAAACAAAACACCAAUUCCAGGUGGCUGUGCUGAUAAGAUGUACUUGGCAUUACCAGGCCACAGAAGAAGACAAUGCAGC